UCAAGGCGGACUUUGCUAACGAUCACCGGACCUGUACAGAGCGAAAGGCUACUAACUGCAGAGGCUGACCGAUCAGGUUUGCUGCUCGGAAGGAGUAAGUGUGCAGCUGCAUGGACUAAGGGCCGGACCUCUCGGCUUGCUGUGACUUUGUGGAAGGAGACUGAGAGUUCCAGGUGCUUUUAUUGUGAAAGGGGGGCGAGAGGAAAAGAAACGGGGGGAGAAGGCAGCAGCCACGAGAGGUGGGAGGAGAGAAAAGCGUGCGCGAGAUGCGGCUAGCGUCUGCAGAGACUUUUUCCAAUGGACGACAAGGAUAAAUCAUCCCACGUCGACGGCUGAGUAACAGAGCGUGACUGUGAGGUGGUGCAGCCCGGACUGGUUUGCACUGUUGCCUCGGAAUCACCUAGUUAGCGGCGUGCUAACUUGGCUAACUGGAGUUAGCCCUCAAGGCGGACUUUGCUAACGAUCACCGGACCUGUACAGAGCGAAAGGCUACUAACUGCAGAGGCUGACCGAUCAGGUUUGCUGCUCGGAAGGAGUAAGUGUGCAGCUGCAUGGACUAAGGGCCGGACCUCUCGGCUUGCUGUGACUUUGUGGAAGGAGACUGAGAGUUCCAGGUAGGAGCACCAUUUUGUUUUCUUUUAGGACCGUUGGUUCCUACGCACACAAGCAUCGAUCCAGGCCUGCACCGAGGGGACUUGGGAAAUUGGGGUGUGAGAGUGUGUGUGUGUGUGUGGGGCCCAUUACGGUAAAGAACUGUGUAACUGUUGUUAUUGUUAUAUUUUAUCAUUGCAAGGGACUUCUUACUUUAUUGAUUUAUUGGGUGUUUACCAGUUCAUUCAGUAAACCUGCUUGGUUUAAACAGAAGAUUGUGUGUCUGGUACUGUUUCUUAUCUAUAGUUCAGAGUAAGGUAAAAGUGUAUCUGUGUGUUAUACGUGUGUAAAUCAGGGGAGCUUGCACUGAGGGCAACUAAGUAAGUUCAAGGUAACUAGAACUCAGGGCGUACCCGGCUAUAGUGGAGUACACAGUCUGGGGCGCUACA